GACUGCUCCAGUGGCCUAGUUGUUAGAGUGUCCGCCUCGGAUACGGGAAGUCGUUGGUUCGAUCCCCAGUUGAGUCA